rnacentral:rRNA from 1 species
AGGCCAGACUCCUACGGGAGGCAGCAGUGGGGAAUAUUGCACAAUGGGCGCAAGCCUGAUGCAGCGACGCCGCGUGAGCGAAGAAGUAUUUCGGUAUGUAAAGCUCUAUCAGCAGGGAAGAAAAUGACGGUACCUGACUAAGAAGCUCCGGCUAACUCCGUGCCAGCAGCCGCGGUAAUACGGAGGAUGCGAGCGUUAUCCGGAUUUAUUGGGUUUAAAGGGUGCGUAGGCGGAAGGUUAAGUCAGCGGUCAAAUGUCGGUGCUCAACACCGGCCUGCCGUUGAAACUGGUCUUCUUGAGUGAGCGAGAAGUAUGCGGAAUGCGUGGUGUAGCGGUGAAAUGCAUAGAUAUCACGCAGAACUCCGAUUGCGAAGGCAGCAUACCGGCGCUCAACUGACGCUGAGGCACGAAAGCGUGGGGAUCGAACAGGAUUAGAUACCCCUGUA